AUUGAACGCUGGCGGCAGGCCUAACACAUGCAAGUCGAGCGAGCGGCGGACGGGUGAGUACUGUCUGGGAAACUGCCUGAUGGAGGGGGAUAACUACUGGAAACGGUAGCUAAUACCGCAUACCAUCAUAUAUGCCCAGAUGGGAUUAGCUAGUAGGUGGGGUAACGUCUCACCUAGGCGACGCGCCCUAGCUGGUCUGAGAGGAUGACCAGCCACACUGGAACGGAGACACGGUCCAGACUCUGACGGGAGGCAGCAGUGGGGAAUAUUGCACAAUGGGCGCAAGCCUGAUGCAGCCAUGCCGCGUGUGUGAAGAAGGCCUUCGGGUUGUAAAGCACUUUCAGCGGGGAGGCGUUACCCGCAGAAGAAGCACCGGCUAACUCCGUGCCAGCCGCCGCGGUAAUUC
rnacentral:rRNA from 1 species